rnacentral:piRNA from 1 species
GAGCCCCGCGCCGGACGCCGUGUA